rnacentral:misc_RNA from 1 species
AUCGAAGAUAUGGUGCUCUAAAAUCCCUUGGUGAGCGGAAGCAAGCUUUCAAUGAGUAUCUGAGCCAAAGGAAAAAACUGGAAGCUGAAGAGAGACGUGUUAAACAGAAAAAAGCUCGGGAAGAUUUCAGGAUAAUGUUAGAAGAUUGCAAGGAGCUGUCACCAUCCUCAAGAUGGAGUAAGGUAAUUUCUAUAUUCGAACAUGAUGAACGUUUUAAAGCUGUUGAGCGAGCUAAAGACCGUGAGGACCUUUUUGAAGAUUAUAAGGAGGAACUUGAGAAAAAGGAGCGUGCAAGGGCAUUGGAGGAGCAGAAGCGCAAUAGAGUGG